AUUGAACGCUGGCGGCAGGCCUAACACAUGCAAGUCGAGCGGAUGAGUGGAGCUUGCUCCAUGAUUCAGCGGCGGACGGGUGAGUAAUGCCUAGGAAUCUGCCUGGUAGUGGGGGACAACGUUUCGAAAGGAACGCUAAUACCGCAUACGUCCUACGGGAGAAAGUGGGGGAUCUUCGGACCUCACGCUAUCAGAUGAGCCUAGGUCGGAUUAGCUAGUCGGUGAGGUAAAGGCUCACCAAGGCGACGAUCCGUAACUGGUCUGAGAGGAUGAUCAGCAACACUGGAACUGAGACACGGUCCAGACUCCUACGGGAGGCAGCAGUGGGGAAUAUUGGACAAUGGGCGAAAGCCUGAUCCAGCCAUGCCGCGUGUGUGAAGAAGGUCUUCGGAUUGUAAAGCACUUUAAGUUGGGAGGAAGGGCAGUAAGUUAAUACCUUGCUGUUUUGACGUUACCAACAGAAUAGGCACCGGCUAACUUCGUGCCAGCAGCCGCGGUAACAC
rnacentral:rRNA from 1 species